rnacentral:lncRNA from 1 species
AUGUGCUGCUUCCAGCUCAAAUGGAGUUGGGAAGAGGUAGAGCAACGAGAACGGGCAGUUCUUGAGGUUGCACCGAAUCGAAGCACAUUGUUACCUUUUUCUGUGGAUCAUCAGCUCCAUGAAAAUCCAAGGGCGAGGUCUUUGCUGGAACACUGCGUAGGACCCACUGCAUUACCAGUGUAUCCAUGCCAUAUGAUGGUCACCUGUGUUAUUGCUGAUUGUUUGAAACUUGAUUGCUUCAUCCUGGACAUACCCAGCCUGGCCUCCAAACACACCGCUGGGAUCUGGGAACCGGAGCGUUUUCUCCAGUGUGAUCCAGCUAAACCAGAGGCUGAAGCAGUGACUGCAGAGGGCAUUCCUAGAGCCGCCAGGCACUUUGGCAGCAAAGCCUCGGGUGGUGGGAGUGCUCCUGCUGUCCCUGGGGGGUGGCCAGGCUGUCCUGGCUGUCCCAGGGCUGUGGUGCUGCAGGACAGAGCAGGGACUGCGCAGGCUGCUCAGGAGGGCAGCGAGUGCUGA